ACAUCGUGCGCAUAGCUUAGAGAUAAGCGAAGUCCUUCAGGACGCACAGACAGGUGGUGCAUGGUUGUCGUCAGCUCGUGUCGUGAGAUGUUGGGUUAAGUCCCGCAACGAGCGCAACCCUUGUAUUCAGUUGCUACGCAAGAGCACUCUGGAUAGACUGCCGUUGAUAAAACGGAGGAAGGUGGGGAUGACGUCAAAUCAUCAUGCCCCUUAUGACCUGGGCAACACACGUACUACAAUGGCGUAUAACAGAGGGAAGCAAGACAGCGAUGUGGAGCAAACCCCUAAAAUGCGUCUCAGUUCAGAUUGCAGGCUGCAACUCGCCUGCAUGAAGUCGGAAUUGCUAGUAAUCGCGGAUCAGCAUGCCGCGGUGAAUACGUUCCCGGGCCUUGUACACACCGCCCGUCACACCAUGGGAGCCGGUAACACCCGAAGUCAGUAGCCUGACCGCAAGGAGGGCGCUGCCGAAGGUGGGAUUGGUGACUGGGGUGAAGUCGUAACAAGGUAGCCGUAUCGGAAGGUGCGG
rnacentral:rRNA from 1 species